UUUAAGUGCACUUGUGGGUUUCCGUGUCCAACAUUUGAUUGUCCGUCUUAUUUAAAAAUAUUAUGAAAAAAAUUAAAAAAAAUAGUCACACAUAAAAUAUUAUUCAUAUUUUAUCAUCUGAUAACAAUAAAAAUAUUAAUCAUAAAAAAAUUUAAAUAGUACGAACGGUUAAAUGUUUUUUUAACGGAAAGAACGGAUAAAUGUUGA
rfam:Oryza sativa Japonica Group DNA, chromosome 8, cultivar: Nipponbare, complete sequence.